rnacentral:rRNA from 1 species
AUGAGAAUUAUAAGCGGGAACUGUCAGGGACUCGGGAAUGGCCUGGUAGUUCGUGGCCUCUUGGACCUCAAGAGGGCGGAGGAUCCCGAUGUUCUUUUCUUAUGUGAGAGUAAAUUGUAUGAGAAGGAGAUGGAGCAAUAUAGGUGGAAGCUGGGGCUAGUCAAUAUGUGUGUGAGAAACUCGGAUGGCAGAAGUAGAGGCUUAGCCAUUAUGUGGAUUAGGGGAGUUAACCUGUCAUUAAGGUCCAUUGGGAGAAGGCAUAUAGAUGUCGAUAUAACGGACAAGAACGGGGUGGUGUGGAGGAUGACAUGGGUGUAUGGUGAAUCGCAGGCGAGCAGGAAGAAAGAAACUCGGAGGACAUUGCAUCUUCUUAAUCAGCAACAUCAAGAGGGUCGGUUGUGGCUGUGCAUGGGAGACUUCAAUGAGAUACUAACGAAUGAGGAGAAGAAAGGGGGUGUAAACCGAUCCCAGGGCUGUUUGGACCAGUUUAGGGAUGCUCUAGAAGAAUGCAAGCUGAGCGAUCUGGGGUACGAGGGUGAUAUGAUCAUGUGGCAGAAUAAUUGCACCAAUGUGGAGGGUUAUAUUUGUGGACGGCUGGACCGUGCAGUAGCGAAUAUGGAAUGGUGUUCCACCUACCCAGAGUUUCAUGUUCGUAAUGAACUACCGAGGCAUUCAGAUCAUCGGCCGGUUGUGGUGGACACAAAGGACAUGGGGGAGAAGGGAGAGAGGAGGAGGAGCAUUCAAGUUUGA